CACGUAGGGCGCAAGCGUUGUCCGGAAUUAUUGGGCGUAAAGAGCUCGUAGGCGGUCUGUUGCGUCCGCUGUGAAAACUCGGGGCUUAACCCCGAGCCUGCAGUGGAUACGGGCAGACUAGAGGUAGGUAGGGGAGAAUGGAAUUCCCCGGUGUAGCGGUGAAAUGCGCAGAUAUCGGAAGGAACACCAGUGGCGAAAGCGGCUUCCUGGUCCAGCACCGACGUUCAGGCACGAAAGCGUGGGGAGCAAACAGG
rnacentral:rRNA from 1 species